rnacentral:lncRNA from 1 species
GAGGACCAGUGCAAAUGAAGUAUCUGUUGGUCAAGUCCCAAUGCUGACCUACCCAUUAGCCUGUGUGAAAACAGGUUUGUGGCUCUCCAGGGAAUGCGGGCUGCAGCAAGAAGCUUACCAAAAGCCAAAAGAGGAAGUUCACUACAGGCUGAUGUCAAUUCCCAGUGGAGUCAGGAUGUCCAAAUCUGCAUUAUCAGUAAGACCUCUGUAGAGAAGAAGCCAUGAAGAGUAGGAUGGAAUCCAACUACUCUGAGGUAUGAAAAUGUUCCGGCAGUAACUUCACAUGCACUUUGGGACCUGGGAGGAAAUACACACAAGUGAAGUUGGCAUAUGUUAGUAAUAGAGUGUAAUGAUACUUUGACAAACCGAUGAGUUACAUUCCUUUGUAAGAAUCUAGUUAAUAAGGACAGAGUAGUGUGAAGCUAUAACUUGACGUGCCCUUGAAUUCAUCUCAGACUUAUUAAAUACUAAGCUUUCAGCAGCAACACUAGUUCCAGUCUUCACCCAUCAAUGGACUGAAGCUGAUUAUGUACUGUCAUCCUGGAGAGAAUUGGCUGAAAAUUAGUUGGAACCAACCAUGUGGAAGGAAAGAAUUAUUGAUUCCAGUUGAAAGAGGCUGGAGAUGAUAGAACUGACAGCUGAGGCCUAGCUCCUCAUUGCAGAGCCAAGUCCACUCUGGCAGAAUGGCAGCUAUGUGCAUCAGCCCAUUGUUAGAUCCUCAAACCAGAGACACCAGCUGCCAGAGGAUCCAGAGCAGGUUCCAGGCAAAAAGGCAAAAACAAGGAAGUAUAUACUAAGGCCAAUAAAAAAUGGCUAGCACUGGUUUUCAAAUCUAAACUAUUUUUUAAGGCCAUAAGCAUAGGCUGGGGCAAGAGGUCAAAAAUAGCAGAAAAUUUUCAGGAAAGAAGCCUAAGGUUUGACAUAGGGAGAGAGUUCAGGGUAAAACCUGAAUUGCUCCAGAUUAGUGAGAUCUUAUUUUUUCAUUAGCUGCUGACUAGAUGAUAUCCAAAUUAUUGUUUUAUUCAACAAACAUUUAUUCAGUGAUCACUAUGUGCUUGGCACUGAGUUAGGACCACUCUGUCAAUGAGACAAUGUCCUUCCUUCAUGCAACUUGAAGUCCCUUAGAAGAAACAG